rnacentral:rRNA from 1 species
GUUAGGAAUAUUGGACAAUGGGCGCAAGCCUGAUCCAGCCAUGCCGCGUGAGUGAUGAAGGCCUUCGGGUUGUAAAGCUCUUUAGUCCACGAAUAUAAUGACUGUAGUGGAAGAAUAAGCCCCGGCUAACUUCGUGCCAGCAGCCGCGGUAAUACGAAGGGGGCGAGCGUUAUUCGGAAUCACUGGGCGUAAAGCGUGCGUAGGCUGUUUUGUAAGUCAGAAGUGAAAGCCCAGGGCUUAACCCUGGAAUUGCUUUUGAAACUACAAGACUCGAAUUCGGGGGAGGAUAGCGGAAUUGUCAGUGUAGCAGUGAAAUGCGUAGAUAUUGACAGGAACACCAGUGGCGCAAGCGGCUAUCUGGACCGAUAUUGACGCUGAGGCACGAAAGCGUGGGGAGCAAACAGGAUUAGAUACCCUAGUAGUCC